UACGUAGGGUGCAAGCGUUGUCCGGAAUUAUUGGGCGUAAAGAGCUCGUAGGCGGUUUUGUCGCGUCUGCUGUGAAAUCCCCAGGCUCAACUUGGGGCGUGCAGUGGGUACGGGCAGACUUAGAGUGCGGUAGGGGGAGACUGGAAUUCCUGGUGUAGCGGUGGAAUGCGCAGAUAUCAGGAGGAACACCGAUGGCGGAAGGCAGGUC
rnacentral:rRNA from 1 species